CUCUGUUAGAAUUUCGAGAAAAAGAUGUUUCAUCAGUUUUGUCCACCUGAAUCGCUUUAUUGACCCUUCUUUGUUGCCCUUACCCAUUCUACAUUAAUAAUUGUCAUUGUCAAUAAUUUCAAUAUCCAACAAGCUUAAAACAUAAUAAUUUCAAUAUCCAACAAUAAUUUCAAUAUCAAUAUACAACCAACAUUAAAAAAAUAACAAUUUUAAUACUAAAACAUACAUAACAUAAAAACAUUAACCUUGAGCCCUAAACCUACCUAAUGUUUCUAGCCAUAUAAUCAGUCCACAUAGUUUGUGCAAUUUCCUCUCUCUUAGCAAACUAUUCUCUUGUUUCUUCUCAUUCUUCUAGUUCCAUAAGAGUUAGUAUUAUCAAAUCAGACCCAAGCUCCUCAUAUAAUCCUUUGAUUAAGUAAAUCAUUAGGCUCAACUCUCAUUAUAUGAUUAUAAAUGAUACAACAAGCCAAAACUAUACCUACUUAAGUUUGAAAUUUCCAAAAUGGUUCAGCAUCUAACACACGAAAUCGUUACUUCAAAAUCCUAAAAACACGUUCAACAGUGAUUCAUAAUAAUGAAUGAAGAAGAUUGAAGAGUUCCUUUACAUUUUCUGGCCUCUGAUCACUAAACUCUUUUAAAUGAUGUAAGACACCACGAUAUGAGGUAAUAUAUCUAUUUCGAAUGCCAUAUCCAGCAUCAACAAGAUAAUAUUUACCUAUAAUUUUGUAAAAUAUAAUUAUUAUUAAUAAAUUAUUAGCUUGCUUGAACUAUUUGGUUUUUAAUGUUAAUUCUUACCUUCUAGAAUUCUUAAUCCUCUUGGGCAUGAAAGUGCAUCACUUAAAAUACAAGAACCAUGUACACUACCUUCCCAACCAACUAGAACAUAGGAAAAUUUCAAAUCCAAUGUAAUGACAGCCAAUACAUUUUGUGUUGUCCCCCCUUUAUGGCUACGAAAUCUUCCCCGGAUGCUAAGUGGAACGGACGCACGAACUUGAGUUCAAUCUAAUACUCCAAUGCAAUCUUUAAAAUAAGGGCAAAAAACCUUGGAUUGUUUCUGUUUUCACUAAGAGUUGACUCAUAAGGUAAUCUAAUAACUAAUCUAUACAAUUUCAAAAUAGCUCUCAAUACAACUCUAAAGUAAUGGUAAAUUGUCUCAAUUGAUCUAUAAUAUCUAGAUCCAAUCACUAAAAUAUUACAUUAUGACCAAUUAUAUAUAAAAAUAUAACUACUUGCUCCCUAAUAUUCACCGAUUUAGUUUAUUGUAACAAAUUGUUCAUACUAAGAAUGUCACAAAUUAGAAAAGACAACUAGUGUCAUCCUUAUCACAUCCAUACAAUGUUGGUCACCUCUAUAUAAAAUACUAUUAAUAUAAUUUUCUCUUUCAUAAUCUUGAUUCACACGAGGGUGAGAAGCGAUUUCCUUCCUAUUUUUUAAUAUUUUAAUCCAAAGAGCCCCAAAAGCUAAAACUAAAGCCACAAUCCCAACAAUUGCAUUAUGAUAUUGAUUACGAUCCAUCUACACAAAAUAAUAUCAAAAAAAUAUUUGAUCAUUACAUAAAAUAAUUUCAAGUUGUGUUGGAGCUCAAGAACAAAAAUAUAGUAAAAAUAAAAUAACUAUAUACAACUUGUCAACUUUAGAUAUACUGGUAUUCUAGUUUUAGUAAUUACAGUACCCAAUUCGAACAAAAAAAAUAACCAAUAUGAAACUAGUAUAUAUCAAUUAAGUCGGGGGUAUAUAAAAAUAUAAUAAAAACAGAUGGGACAAUCUAUAAGAAGACAUAACAGAGAGUGUGGAACAUGUUUUCUAGUGCAAAACCAAAUAUCAUGUGAAAUUUUCAGUUCCACAACUGGUUUCUUAUUGGAUGUCUUGAUGAUAGCUACCUAAAUGUUAUUAUUUUCAGAAAAUGAAAAAAACCAAUAUAACCUAAAUAUUUGAUGCACAAAAAAGAAUAAUGAAUGACAUCUCAGCUUCUACCCAGCUUGUCUCCCAAAUGCUAACAUUAACAAUUAACUAUGUACAAAUUAUCGCACUCUUCAUUUUUCUGAAAGUAUCCAUAACCACAUAUUUUUAUGCCUGGAUAAAGAUAUUAUCCUCUAAACACUUUAAAAUUAUUUAAAAUUAUGUAAAAAUAUCUUUAAAAAUAAACAUAUCGAAAUCAAACACACAUCCAUACAUAACACAUUUAAAUCUAAGUAGCAUAAGCUACAAACUUGCACACUUGCAAUGGGUAUGUCUAUUUGUCAGUUUUUAGCAACAGUAAUGAAUAAACCAACCAAAAAAAGGUUUCAAUUUUACUAUAUGUAUUUAUAUGGGCAAUGAUUAAUUAAUUGUAUUUACAUAUAUUCACUGAAAGAGGACGGCCUAAUAAGCAACGAGAUCAACCCGCAGGCCUUCAAUGAAGAAAAAUUUUAUACUACAAGCCAACUAAACCAAUGGCUAUAUAUAUACGAGGAAACCAAUUGAACCAAAUAGCAUAAAUCGAGUUAAGUAGGUUGAAUCAGAGCUCAAUUACUAGCCAGCAACAAAGACGUCCUUCAUUAGGAAAUCUUUUUAUAGAUGAGCAAAUUGGAAGCUGAGAGGACCACUUAAUCAUCAUUUUUUUCUUAAUUUUCUAAAGCCAAAUCAUGAGUCAUCAUCACCUUUUAUUUUCUAAAGCCAAUCAAUUUGGAACUUGUUUGUCUUUAACCUAGAUAGAACAUAACAGACACAAAAACAUGGUCCCUCCUCGACCUAGUUGUCUAAUCUAUUUACUUUUAUGUAUUUUACAUAAAAGGAAACAACAAUGAGAAAUAAAGAUGGCCACUAAUAACUUAUUCAUCGACCCAGUUGCUGUCUUCAAUUUACAGAUAUGCUAGUUCAUAGACAGCUAAACUCAACUAAGAAGUAAUGUAUCCAUUUUUUCUUCUUUUUACCCUUCGGGUUACAAAAGAGUGAACCAAACCCAAAAAAACUCACCACAGAUACAUUAGAAAUCAAAACAGAAUUGACUCCAAAAAACAAAUUGAAAGCACAUAAUUUGGUCCAAAACAUGCAUGGACUGAACCUAAUAAAAAAUGCCCAAUUUAGACAAUCCCAAAAGAAAGUAAUUGGUCAAAAGAAAAAAGAAAGAAAAAGCAUUGAUGUUAGGGAAAAAAAAGGGACAGCGAACGUAAGGGAAAAAAGAAAGUAAUUCACCAAAAAAAAAAGCAAUUGAAGCAUCUUAAACUUAUAAAAAGAAAAAAAGAAAAAAAAAACAUACAUUGAUGACAAUUGCGCUAAGAGUAGCAACCUUAAGGGAGCUUUGGAAGAUAAAAUAACAUUUAGAUCAGGGUGGAAAGAAAGGGGAAAGAAGAAAGGGAGAAGGGGUUUUGUGUUAUUGUUGGUGAAGAGUAAAGCUUUGGAAAAUGUCUUACCGAAAUGAAGAUGGUAAGAUGUUUUCCUAAAAUAAAGCCUUCUUUUUU
rnacentral:lncRNA from 1 species